rnacentral:tRNA from 1 species
GCCGGGGUGCCCGAGCGGCCUAAGGGGCCGGCCUUGAGAGCCGGUGGGCUUUGCGCCCGCGCGGGUUCGAAUCCCGCCCCCGGCG